rnacentral:tRNA from 1 species
GGCGGCGAUAGCGGAUGGCAACCGCUGCCGCUGGUGAUCGACGGGCCGGACGGGCGGAUCGCCGCCGCCGCGCCGCUU